CCUCAGAUAAUAGCAUCGUUUGCUUUCGCCGAAAAGCCUUUUUGAUAUCUGACAUGUUGGCUGGAUUCACAACAAGUGUAGCUAUAAUUUGCUAUCUUGCAUGUGUGAUUUAAUGAAAGUUUGUUAGAAACCAGUUAGAAACCACCCUAAGAUGCCUGGUCUCAACCAACCUUACUACAUGGAGCAGACAACUGGUCUGGGUGGAGUAUGCCCGUAACACCCUUACCUGUUCAGCCAUGUGACUCUCCCCUUUUGAGUGCUCUAUGGGGGUAUCAGCCUCCACUCUUUCCAGAACAAGAGCAGGAGGUCAACGUACCCUCGGUCCAGAUGUUUGUCUGCUGCUGUAAACGUACCUGGAGAAGUCCUCGGGCGGCACUUCUCAAGACUAACUCCAGGUAUCGUCGACAAGCGGAUUGCAGCUGGACUCCAGCUCCCCGCUACUGCAUUGGGCAGAGGGCCCAUCCUUCCCCCCUGUGUCAUCGAUGGCCAUCCGUCAUACAAGGUGAAACGCUUCCUGGGUGUUCGACCACGGGGCAGGCGUUUCCAGUACCUGGUUGACUGAGAGGGUUAUGGUUAUGGAGGAGAGGUGCUGGGUUCCUGCUAGAGAUAUGGGGGGAGGCUACUGUAACGCCCUGAUCUGUUUCACCGGUCUUUGUGAUUCCCUCCACCUACCUCCAGGUAUUGCCUGUUUUCCCCAUUAGUCCCAGAGGUAUUUAUCCCUGUGUUUCCUGUCUCUCUGUGCCAGUUCGUCUUGUUUUGCCAAGUCAACCAGCGUUUAUCCUAGCUCCUAUUUUUCCCAGUCGCUGUUUUUUCCUAGCCCUCCUCCAACAUCAUCCUGGACUCCGGUGGGACCCUUUCACAUGUCCAGGACUUACUGGAGAAGUUGGAGGGAGGAACCCCUCUCCCAAGAGUCACUCUGGGCAAGGCCAUUUCACACAAAAUAAUUACUGUUCACAGGCAUCUCAACUGUCUAAACAAGUGAGAGAAUAUAUUUGCUAACAUAACACAUUGGUCAAGGUGAACAUUUCUCUGGCCUAUUUAAGAAAAUUUAUGUUUUGCGUAUGAUUAUACAAACACUUGAAUACCAUACUUGUGUCAAUUAUCAAAUACUAUUGUGUUUUUUUUAUAUGUAUGAUCAUUUUAAUUGUUUCCUCUAUUACCAAGGCAUUAAUAAAUGCUGUCUUCAUCAGCCAUCAAACCA